GACGAACGCUGGCGGCGUGCCUAAUACAUGCAAGUCGAACGCAGUGGGGACGGGUGAGUAACACGUGGGUAACCUCCCAUCAGAGGGGAUAACACUUGGAACCAGGUGCUAAACCGAUACCGAUGGAUGGACCCGCGGUGCAUUAGCUAGUUGGUGAGGUAACGGCUAACCAAGGCCACGAUGCAUAGCCGACCUGUAGGGGUGAUCGGCCACGCGUCGACUGUGACACGGACACGACGCCUCAGGGAGGGAGUAGGAGAGAAGGUUGGGCAGUGGCUGAAGAUCAGACCAAGCGACGGCGCGUGGGGUAAAAAGUUAAUAGGAUCGUAGAACUCUGAUGUUAGAGAAGCGGUAUCUAACCAGAAAGCCACGGCUAACUACGUGCCAGCCGCCGCGGUAAUAC
rnacentral:rRNA from 1 species